rnacentral:rRNA from 1 species
UACAGAGGGGGCAAGCGUUAUUCGGAAUUAUUGGGCGUAAAGGGCGCGUAGGCGGCCACCGCAAGUCAGUUGUGAAAUCUCUGGGCUUAACCCAGAACGGUCAGCUAAUACUGCGGGGCUAGAGUGCAGAAGGGGCAACUGGAAUUCUCGGUGUAGCGGUGAAAUGCGUAGAUAUCGAGAGGAACACCUGCGGCGAAGGCGGGUUGCUGGGCUGACACUGACGCUGACAGCGCGAAAGCUAGGGGAGCGAACGGG